GUAAGGACAUGUGGAGCGCUUAGAAGUGAGAAUGCCGGUGUGAGUAGCGAAAGACGGGUGAGAAUCCCGUCCACCGAUUGACUAAGGUUUCCAGAGGAAGGCUCGUCCGCUCUGGGUUAGUCGGGUCCUAAGCUGAGGCCGACAGGCGUAGGCGAUGGAUAACAGGUUGAUAUUCCUGUACCACCUAUAAUCGUUUUAAUCGAUGGGGGGACGCAGUAGGAUAGGCGAAGCGGGCGAUUGGAUUGCACGUCUAAGCAGUAAGGCUGAGUAUUAGGCAAAUCCGGUACUCGUUAAGGCUGAGCUGUGAUGGGGAGAAGACAUUGUGUCUUCGAGUCGUUGAUUUCACACUGCCGAGAAA
rnacentral:rRNA from 1 species